AGUUUUGAGCUAAAUAUAUUUAUAAUAUUAGUUAUUUGUGAAGGUGUUGUAAAACCUUUAUUUAAAAUUAUAUUUAGGGGUGAUAGGCCUUUCAAAAACUAAGAUAUCUUGAAUCUAAUUAAAAGUAUGUAGUACAAUUAACACAACUAUUAAGUGAUUAGGCUUUAUAGAAUUAUUAACCUAUAAGAUUUUAUUUACUAUAAUUUAAUAAUUAAGUACAUAAAUAUAUUAAUAUACAUAUAUUAUAGUUUAUAAAAGAGUAAUUAGAUAAAUUAAAGUUCAUAUUUUUUAUAAUAAUGUUAAUAUUAGUAUUAAGUUUAUAUUUAUAUGAUGAACUCGGCAAAAAUACUUCUCAACUGUUUAUCAAAAACAUAACUAUGUGAAUGAAUACAUAGCGGUUUCUGCUCAA
rnacentral:rRNA from 1 species